GCGAAAACUUUACAAUGCUGGCAACAGCGAUAAGGGAACCUCGAGUGCCAGGUUACAAAUCUGGCUGUCGAGAUGCCUAAAAAGCAUUUCAUAGCAAGGGCCGGGCAAGACCGGUGCCAGCCGCCGCGGUAACACCGGCGGCUCGAGUGGUAACCGUUAUUAUUGGGUCUAAAGGGUCUGUAGCCGGCCGUAUAAGUCUCUUGAGAAAUCUGGCAGCUUAACUUUCAGGCUUUCAGGAGAUACUGUCUGGCUCGAGGCCGGGAGAGGUGAGAGGUACUUCAGGGGUAGGUGUGAAAUCUUGUAAUCCUUGAAGGACAACCAGUGGCGAAGGCGUCUCACCAGAACGGACCUGACGGCAAGGGACGAAAGCUAGGGGCACGAACC
rnacentral:rRNA from 1 species